rnacentral:rRNA from 1 species
CCAACCCAAUGUGAACCAUACCAAACUGUUGCCUCGGCGGGGUCACGCCCCGGGUGCGUCGCAGCCCCGGAACCAGGCGCCCGCCGGAGGGACCAACCAAACUCUUUUCUGUAGUCCCCUCGCGGACGUUAUUUCUUACAGCUCUGAGCAAAAAUUCAAAAUGAAUCAAAACUUUCAACAACGGAUCUCUUGGUUCUGGCAUCGAUGAAGAACGCAGCGAAAUGCGAUAAGUAAUGUGAAUUGCAGAAUUCAGUGAAUCAUCGAAUCUUUGAACGCACAUUGCGCCCGCCAGUAUUCUGGCGGGCAUGCCUGUCCGAGCGUCAUUUCAACCCUCGAACCCCUCCGGGGGGUCGGCGUUGGGGACCUCGGGAGCCCCUAAGACGGGAUCCCGGCCCCGAAAUACAGUGGCGGUCUCGCCGCAGCCUCUCCUGCGCAGUAGUUUGCACAACUCGCACCGGGAGCGCGGCGCGUCCACGUCCGUAAAACACCCAACUUCUGAAAUGUUGACCUCGGAUCAGGUAGGAAUACCCGCUGAACUUAAGCAUAUCAAUAAGCGGAGGGAAAAGAAAGACGACGGC